GGGGACAGGCUCCCGCCACCCCUGCCGUCAGUGUCCCCUUCCUGCCCCCCCAUACGACACCCACGGACAAUCUCCCGCCACCCCCGCUGCGCCACAGCCACAAAGCGCAGGAGCCAGGCGUGCUGUGUGCCUCCCCCAAGGCACUCGCCCUCUCUGGGGCUCACGCCCGAGUUGGCAGAACGUGGACGGUAACAAGGCCCAGGCCCUGGGGACAAGACGACACCCCCACCCCUGCCUGGAACACGUGACUCGUGCUAAGGCCGCCGUGAUGACUGUAGCUGGUGCCGUCUCAAGCUUCGCAUAAUUCCAGCUCUGACGGGGCCUGAGCCGGUGACCCUGGCCAUAUUUCAGGGGGGAAGACAGAACCCCAGAGUGGGGACCCUCCUUCCCUUCCGCAGGAGAGGAAGGCAGCUAGCACGCUGUGAGGACGCUCAAGCAGCCCUGGGGGAGGCCCACGUGGCGAGGACCAGACAUGUGAGUGAGCCCCAGGAAAUCAUCAGUCAGUGCCUGAAGGGGAUGAGUCAGGAAACGGCAACGACCGAGGCGGGAACCACCAGUAGAAACUUGCAGCCUCUGGCGGGGGAGUGUCGUGGGAAGAGGACUGUUGCUCUUCAUCAUAAACCCAUCUUCACCAUUUGAUCUUGGAACUAUAGGCCCGUUUGGCUGUGAUUAAACAUUUUAAAAAAUAUUAAUAUAAAGCUACCAUUAACCUUCAUUCCCAGCAAAAGAUGUACAAUGGGAUUAUACAGCAGUGACAGAGAAUAAACUAGAGCUACAUGGAUUAAAUACAGAUAAAUCUUACAAUAUUCUAUUGGGUGACAAACUCUGUGUAUAAUAGCAUUUAUAUAAAGUCGAAGAAUACACACAACAAUAUGGUGUACCUUGAGCGAUCUGCACGUGCAAUGAAAGAAUAAAGGCAUGUCGGGAUAUCGUUACCUCUGGGGGAGGGGCAGGUGGGAGCAGAGGAGACCCAGGAAGAGCAACUCAGGGGCUCCCACGGUCUCCGUGACGCUCCCCGUUUGGCAAGUGUGGGGCUGAUGUCAGAUACUGCUCCAGCUUCUCAAGGCUGGAGCGAGGGGUAAAAGUGCUAAUAGGUGUGAGGCUCAUCACAGUGUCCUGCAUACAGCCAGCUCUAAAUCCUAACAGUCACCUAAUUAUUACUGUCUCGGUGGCUGGGCAGGGUGUUUGCAUGUCCUUACCAGACCUCCUCCAAGGCCACUCCUUUGCAAGUCUUCCCUGAUCUCUGCUGGCUCCAUGGGACCUCUGCCAUGACAGCUGACACUCGCACCUGCCCCCACGCCACCCAUCCACGCGGACUGGGUGGGAGGACACUACCCUGACUCCCUCCGUGGGCAGUUAGUCUGGAAUGGGCCAGCGAGCUACCCACCAUCCCUCUGGCCACAGCACGUGAGCCAAGUCCAGGCGUCAGCAUUAGGAUGAGGAGGCCCGGGCCAGGGUGGUGGGGACCGUGUCCCGCUGUUUGGGAGGCAGACGGGGAGAAAGGACGUGGCCACUGACUGGAGGUGUGGGGUGCACUGGCUUCUGGUGUGGCCAUUUGGGGGAAGGUUGGGGGGCGUGGUCCAGGAGAAAGAGGAUGUCUGGGUUGGCAGGGAAAUGCCCAGUUCAGAUCCAGACAAGCUGAGUUUGGGUGCCUGGGGUGAGCCGUGAGGAGGGACUUAGAGAUUUGGAGCUGUGAACAGGAAGGUGGAUGGCUGGGAGGCCCACACGGGCUGCCAGGUGUGUUUUCUAGAACCCUGAGACCAACUGAUAGCACUUCAGAAAGCCACCCCCAGGCCUUGUAGACUUACAGACUUUCUAUACCUAAAAAAUGGGCCUAAUUAACAGCCCCUUAUUCAGAUGGCGGUAUAAAUACUUGACAAGAAUGUACUAAUAGCCUGGCACCCAGAAAACCAUGAUGUACAUACGCCCUCACUGUUAUCACACAUUAUCACGUCAACUUUGAGAAGUGGACAGUAUACCCAUUUUACAGAUGGGGAAACUGAGGUCACAACACUAACAAGCGAUGCACCUAGAGCUAGAGCCAAGGCCUUCGUAUUUUUUUUUCUUUUUC